GGGCCGGUAGAUCAGUGGUAGAUCGCUCCCUUGGCGUGGGAGAGGUCGGGGGUUCAAAUCCCCCCCGGUCCA
rnacentral:tRNA from 1 species